AUUGAACGCUGGCGGCAUGCCUUACACAUGCAAGUCGAACGGCAUCGCGGGAAAGCUUGCUUUCCUGGCGGCGAGUGGCGAACGGGUGAGUAACACAUCGGAACGUACCGGCUAGUGGGGGAUAACCCGUCGAAAGACGGGCUAAUACCGCAUACGCUCUUCGGAGGAAAGCAGGGGACCUUUGGGCCUUGCGCUAGCCGAGCGGCCGAUGUCCGAUUAGCUAGUUGGUGGGGUAAAGGCUUACCAAGGCGACGAUCGGUAGCGGGUCUGAGAGGACGAUCCGCCACACUGGGACUGAGACACGGCCCAGACUCCUACGGGAGGCAGCAGUGGGGAAUCUUGGACAAUGGGGGCAACCCUGAUCCAGCAAUGCCGCGUGGGUGAAGAAGGCCUUCGGGUUGUAAAGCCCUUUCGGCAGGGAAGAAAUCGGCGGGGCGAAUAACCCUGCUGGAUGACGGUACCUGCAGAAGAAGCACCGGCUAACUACGUG
rnacentral:rRNA from 1 species